rnacentral:rRNA from 1 species
AUUGAACGCUAGCGGGAUGCCUUACACAUGCAAGUCGAACGAGUGGCGAACGGGUGAGUAAUGUAUAGGAAUGUGCCCAGUAGCGGGGGAUAACGUCCCGAAAGGUAGCUAAUACCGCAUACUAUUGGAGCGGCCGAUAUCGGAUUAGCUAGUUGGUGGGGUAAAGGCUCACCAAGGCGACGAUCCGUAGCUGGUUUGAGAGGAAGAUCAGUCACACUGGAACUGCGACACGGUCCAGUCUCCUACGUGAGGCAGCAGUGGGGAAUUUUGGACAAUGGGGGAAAGCCUGAGCCAGCCAUCCCGCGUGUGGUAUGAAGGCCUUCGGGUUGUAAAGCACUUUAGGUAGGGAGGCGGUACCUGCAGAAUAAGCACCGGCUAACUACGUGCCAGCAGCCGCGGUAAUAC